rnacentral:rRNA from 1 species
GACGAACGCUGGCGGCGUGCUUAACACAUGCAAGUCGAACGGAAAGGCCCUGCUUUUGUGGGGUGCUCGAGUGGCGAACGGGUGAGUAACACGUGAGUAACCUGCCCUUGACUUUGGUAUAACUUCAGGAAACUGGGGCUAAUACCGGAUAGGAGCUCCUGCUGCAUGGUGGGGGUUGGAAAGUUUCGGCGGUUGGGGAUGGACUCGCGGCUUAUCAGCUUGUUGGUGGGGUAGUGGCUUACCAAGGCUUUGACGGGUAGCCGGCCUGAGGGGGUGACCGGCCACAUUGGGACUGAGAUACGGCCCAGACUCCUACGGGAGGCAGCAGUGGGGAAUAUUGCACAAUGGGCGGAAGCCUGAUGCAGCAACGCCGCGUGCGGGAUGACGGCCUUCGGGUUGUAAACCGCUUUCGCCUGUGACGAAGCGUGAGUGACGGUAAUGGGUAAAGAAGCACCGGCUAACUACGUG